rnacentral:lncRNA from 1 species
AUGGCAUUAAACUCAGGUGGAAGUGGGAGGUGGAGAGAGAGGAAGUCUGCAAGAGAAGAUCAGAUCACACCAGACCUAAGUCAGUUUAGGUUGGACAUUUCUGGCAAAGGAUUCAGCAAUGCGAAGGUGUGCAGAUACCUGGGAUAUUAUAAGCAAGGGCUUAAAAAUGAAGUGUCUACUCUGCUGGCUACACUUGAGAUGUUCCCAUGCUAUCAGGACACUCUGCAUGAUGACUUUGGAAGCAAGGAAGCCACCUCCAAUUCACAGAGCUGGUGUAUCUGCCUCAUUCAUGAAAAGACCCACCAAAACCUGAUCCAGUUAACAGGUUCAUGGGGCCUUGGGAGGGUUGCAUCAGAAAUUCAGAAAACACAGCCCCGAGCCACGCAGCCAUCUGAGCAUCUGGGAAAAAGGAAGGUGCUCAUCAUGCUGGUCGAACACACCCUGUGGCAUUUGCUCUGACUGUGGCUCUCAUACUGUGGCAUUAUAAACUAAGAAGGUUUUUGCUGACCCACCUGACAACAGAAUUGCC